UUCUUUCCCCAGUGUGAGUCCUUCACUCCCCAGUGAGGUCUCUAAUCCAGUCGUGUCUUGUUCACGCAGUGUCAGUUUUGUCCCCUAAUUCAGAGUCGUGUCCUGCUCACGCAUUCUUUUCCUUUUUCUUAUCCCCAUGAGAGUCUUGUUAGUGUCUCUGUUCCUGGUGAGUGCAUUACUCCGAUGGAUCGUCUGUUCUUUGUGGACCCAUAUUCCCCACAGAGUUUUGUUUGUCUCUUUUGCAUGCAUACAUUUGCAUCAUGAGGUCUCUUAGGGACCAAAAUUUG
rnacentral:lncRNA from 1 species